AGAGUCUAAGCAUGGAUGUCAACCUGUUUUCUUAACUUCGACAACAACUCUCUUAUAAUGACCGUGACUGAAAAGAACCUUUGAAUUUUUUUUAAAAUUUUUCACUUUUUUUAUUAUCUUAUAUACUAUGGGCUAUCAAUUAUCGCGUCAAUUAUAUAGGUAACUCGUUACAUUUGUUUUGUAAAUCACAGUACCUAAAAGAUCAUAAACCUUUUAAAAAUGAAGGAUUAAACACUCUUAUGCUGCAGGAACUCAAAAUUGAAGGAUGAAUUAACCGAAUGCGAAUCAACAAGUUCACUUUCAUAGCUUAUUUUGAGUAACAAGGUGAUUUUGAGGUGUAAGAUGAAACCUUCAUUUCUAAUUCUAUGACACUGUGAAAAGUAUUCAUGAAUGUUUUUAAUAUUUAAAAAAGUGGUCAAUUUAUAGCUCUUAAACAAGGCAGUAAACUAUAAAAUAAUAAUAGAAACAUAACCAUCAAGAGCAUAUGAAACCAUGCGAGAUCAAUUGCAAAAAUGAAGCUUCUUUUCAAAUGUAAAGCUCUUUUUAAGUUAACUUAAAAUGAGUACGUGAAACACUAGGGCUUACUGAAAUUUUUGGAAUUGAACUAUA